rnacentral:rRNA from 1 species
UUCAGAAUAUGAGUUGUAAUUUUGAGAACUGUUUUCUAGUACUAGACCAAAUAUAAGUCUGUUGAAAAGCAGCACCAAAGAAGGUGAUAGUCCUGUAUGUUAUAUGGUAUUAAACUAGUGCAAUAUGAUACAGUUUCUAAGAGUCGAGUUGUUUGGGAAUGCAGCUCAAAGUGGGUGGUAAAUUCCAUCUAAGGCUAAAUAUAGAUGAGAGACCGAUAGCAAACAAGUACCGUGAGGGAAAGAUGAAAAGAACUUUGGAAAGAGGGUUAACAGUACGUGAAAUUGUUCAAAGGGAAACACUUGAAGUUAGCCUUGUUAUUASCAGAUCAACUCUUCUUUUAGGGUGUAUUCUGAGUGAUUAACAGCUCAACAUCAAUUUAUGUUAGUGUUGGAGAAGGUUUUUUAGGAAAGUAGCAGUUUUACUACUGUGUUAUAGACUAAAUUAAAGAGAUACAAUGCUAUAGAUUGAGGAAUGCAGUAAGCCUUGAUUAAUUUCAAGGUGGAUUUAUUUUUUUUUAAAUCUUCUUACUGAGGAUGUUGGAGAAAUAGCUUCAAAUGACCCGUCUUGAAACACGGACCAAGGAGUCUAACAUGCUUGCGAGUAUUUGGGUGAAUUGAAACCCUUAUUAUUAUUUUUUAAAUGUGCGUAAUGAAAGUGAAAGUAAAUGGGAACUUGAAUAGUUAGAGAGAUAGUGCACCAUUGACCAGUCUUGAUUAUUUAUAUGAGAGUACUGAGUAAGAGCAAGUAUGUUGGGACCCGAAAGAUGGUGAACUAUGCCUGAAUAGGGUGAAGCCAGAGGAAACUCUGGUGGAAGCUCGUAGCGGUUCUGACGUGCAAAUCGAUCGUCAAAUUUGGGUAUAGGGGCGAAAGACUAAUCGAACCAUCUAGUAGCUGGUUCCUGCCGAAGUUUCCCUCAGGAUAGCAAAGACUCAGAGAACAGUUUUAUGAGGUAAAGCGAAUGAUUAGAGGCCUUGGGGAUGAAAUAUCCUUAACCUAUUCUCAAAC